GAAUGAAAUCAUUCAAAAUUAUAUAUUUUUUUCCUUGUCAAGUGCGAUGACAAAAAAAUAACAUAAUUUUACUAAUUUAAAAUUUACUAAUCAAAUCGUAAUACCAACAGAGUGAAAAUGAGAAUUUUAGUGAAGAAAAAGUUGGACUUGUACAAGUAAAAUGUAGCACGAGGAAAAAAGUUAUCAUGGUAUGGGAAUACAAUCGUCAUGUAAACAAAUUAAACACACAACAAAGUCUAAUAGUAUGGAAAAUGUUGCAAUAUAAUGAAAUUAACAUCUGUUAAAAACUUGUGAUAUCAAGAGGAGAAAAGGAUCCUUAUUGAGCAGCAUCUUUAAAGAGUGAGUCGUUUCACUUUUAACAAAUCUUACCUUUUUAGACUGUCCAAUAGAAUGUUCAAAUAUGACAUUGUUGAUCUCCUGACACACGACUGAAAUGACACUCUGCUAUGCUUGCUUCACAGAAAUUAGUGUGUUUUUUUUUCUUUUCUUUUUUUUUUAAAUUUAUGUUGUUGUUGUUCAUCUGUGCCUAAUGAGCGACGGUGGCAGGAUAUAAUUGUUCGUAGCCCACCAGCGGGUGGUUUAAUUGGACAGACAGGGAGGAAUAUACAACCUGGUGACUGGCACCGUCGCCUCAUAAUGGGGUGCAACCGGGCGCCGCUGUGGUCAACUAAUCAAAACGGGACUGGGCCUGCUUGGCGAACCGUGACCGGAAUAUUGAGUGGGCAUCUUGGCCCCGCCGCUUCGCAUCAGUGGCUCAGCGGGGAAGGCGGAGGGGCGGCUAUCGGGGCGUAUCAUUAUGUGGUCGUGACCCGGCAGCACCUGCAGCACAGUAUAUUAUUCGUGAGGCCACGGAUGGACGCCUUUAAUGUAGGUGAAGCCAUGAUGGACUGUUCUACCUCACUUUUACAAGACGUUUUGCAGAGCAACGUGUUGCUCGCCGACGUGAACUUCACUGUACUAUUGACUUGAGUGUUUGCCUCAAACAAAACAUCUAAUAUACAGACACCCAGUGGCAGGCCCUGGGCCUUCAGACAUAAUUCACCACUAUCAGGUUAUGUUUUUCGUAACCAUCAAUAUGCCCAUUCUUAUCGCAAGGAAGACAGCUGCUAACGUUAAUGUGAAUUCAUGGACAUGGACCAGUUCACAACACCCUUUCUAACACGCCAGUGAUCAGCAAGCCUGUAUCUUGCUGUCUUCACACUCCGUUCACGAAGCAAACACAAUUGCCAUGAUAUGCCAGCGAGUUUUAAUGCAAUUUCAUGCGUCCUAAUUAAUAAGAUUAUCAUUAUACUUGUGGUGGCCCGGUGGGACAGUGGUUAGCACAUUGACCUCACAGUGUAGAGGUCGUGGGUUCGAUUGCGUCUCCGGCCUUCCUGUGUGAAAUUUGCAUGUUUUCCCCGUGCCUCUAUUAGAAAGUGUUGCAAAUCACUCCUAAACCCAUCAAAAGAAGAGCUGUGAAUGAUCGUUUUUAUUUUCUACUGCAAAUUUGUCAUACGAUAAAAUACAUUUGAAAAUACAAUAAAUUAGGUAGACACUGUUUCAUGACAUGGAGCCAAACGAGUGUAUUCAGUUGAGAAGGAGUCACUUUUAAUUUAGCUUUUAAUGUCACAAAGGAAAGAGUGUUCAUUUUCACAUUCAGCGGCAACCAAAGUCACUUUUUCGUCAUAUUUUCAGAAUGAGCAAAUUCAUCUGGCUUCAACAUACGAAGGAAAAGGAGACAUGCUUAUCUUAUUAAUGGCUGAAAAAGAUAUAUGGAUUAAAGAUUGCAUUGUAUUGUAAAGAUGAUAGCCCAUAAAACAGUUAAUUAAAAAAAUCUUAUGUUUAAAUCAUUAUACUUUUCUUGUAAAAUAAAAUCAAUGAAUCAAUCAAGGGCAUCUGCAAGAGUGCCCUCUGACGUUGAAAAAUUUUUUAUUUCAACGCGUCUGCAUCUUUAAGGGCGUUCACAGCAAAGCAUGAUGGGUAACUUCUGUUAGUCAAUGUUAGCCAAUCAGAUGGCCGGGUUCGCUCGUUGCUAUGGUGAUAGUGAGGGGGUUGCGGUUCGAAGCGCAGUCAACGGCGUCAUUAUUAAAAGCGGAAGAAAAAUAUACGUGAUUUUGAUGUCGUAUUGUCCUUAAAAAUGAUGUCAUUAGGGUGUAACGACGUUCGUUUUGAUAACGUAAUCACCAUUUGACAUACAAUUCGUGGGCAGAAAGUUUGAGUGAGAGGGAAAAGGUGGAAAGCAGUUGAGAUACGUGUGCGCAACAAAUGGGCACUCGAGGUUUGAUCUCAUCACCAUCUUUGGCUGCUCAACGUGCCCAACCAUCAGAAAUAUCACCACACAAAGAUGGCGACAGUGGAUCUUCUGAUGUUAAGUCAUGUCUUGCACAUCGCAACAAAGAACGGCGGAAGGGUGCUCGGGUCACGUUUCAGAAUGGUGAACACUCAGAGGAACUGGCCUCAAACAGCAGCCAUAAACUGCGGCCGUUACUUGGAUAUGACUGGAUAGCAGGUGUCCUUGAUGUGGAGAAGUCCCUGCAAGGACGCUCGGAUGAUUUCUACGAGGAACUGCAAGAUUUCCGAAUGCAAAAUGAAAGCGAAUGCGUGCACAAGUCCCAAGCCAAAUUUUCCCCAGAGAAGCAGUCUGUCCUGUCACUGUUUGCAGACACUGAUGACCCGAUUGCCGAUGCAGAUAAUCAUCAAUGCACCUUCUUGUACAAGUUGAACAGUAGACUGUUCCCUGUCCCUGUUCACCCUGGGGAAUGCUGUCCCGUGUGCAGAAAGCCAAAAUCUUCACACCCCCACACUACAAAGAAACCAGCUCUUGUCAGGGUCAGUAUCCCUAGCUCCACUCUGCUACCAUCUUACGACUACAAAGCACAUCGCCGCAGCAGCUUUGAUUCAACCGAUAGUUUGGGGUUACCCUCUUGCGUUGAUGACUCAUCCUCCUGUGGCCCGACCACCAGUCGCUCACCAACGAGCCCCGUUUCCAGGCCUGGCUGCAGAUGGGGGACCCUCGUUACACUUCUGGGCAAUGGAAAGCUAGAUCCACUAUUUGUAUUCAUCAUUGGGGUUUUUUGAACCCUGCUUUGUCUGGUCCCUCAACGCAGACAUCUUACCGGUAGCUCCUCGGAUCAUUGGCACACAAAACACUUCCGCCACGGUAAGGUGACGACUUACGGAGAGGAUUCUUAAAUGUCACUGUUAAAAAUGCACGUUCAAUUACGAGGUGACAAAACCAGGCCAUUUUUAUGUUUAGCAGGGUUGUCGGUAUCUGCUGAAUGUAACUAUUCAAAUAUCUUGCAAUCUAACUUAAACUCAAUUAGUCACUGAAGUACUAUAUCUGAGUUACUUUUUAAAGUAAUCAGUAAAGUAACUAAAUUAGUCUGCCAAAAACUCUUUAGCACAUUGUAUAAAUGCAGCAUGAUUAGCUGGUUUCAUGUCCCGUCCCUGUUUUUACACAGCAUUGCCUUUUGGGUCGGUCCAACACAUUUCGGAGCUACUUGAAACCACCCAGCAACCUUGACCUACGAAGUCACCUGGAGAAGCGCACUGAGCAAGAGGAUCAGGUGACCAAAAGUCUUAAGUUGGACCAAGCGCCAGUUCUCACUCCGUUAGCCCGUCACCAUUUCCAACACUUCACGCCCAAACGAAAAAAAAGACGACCUCGACC